AUUCGUAUUCAGUUAUCACUCAAAAUCAAAUUUUCGUUGGUUGAAUACUUUGAAUAAUUUGCGAUCAUAAAAAACAAAACAAAGCGGCUCAUUUUGACAUUAUAAAUUAAAACCCUUUUGACAAAUUGUUGUUCUUGGGCUAUCGACACAACUGUAUAUAAUUGAAUCAUGAAUUUUUUAGUCAUUUACAUACUAUAAUAAAUAAAGAAGUUUGAAAUAAGCAAGAAGGCAAAUAUUCGGAUAUACAUCGAAAAACGGAGAAAUUACAUUUUUACUUACGACCAGGGAUGGGCUGAGACCCAUCAUGUGCUAAAAGAUCCCAAAAUCAGUGACAUCAACUUACAUACAGUUCAUGCGACUUCUGAUCCCGCGACAUUUUUCAACUAA